AGAGUUUGAUCCUGGCUCAGGACGAACGCUGGCGGCGUGCUUAACACAUGCAAGUCGAACGGAAAGGCCCUUCGGGGUACUCGAGUGGCGAACGGGUGAGUAACACGUGGGUGAUCUGCCCUGCACUUUGGGAUAAGCCUGGGAAACUGGGUCUAAUACCGAAUAGGACCACGCGCUUCAUGGUGUGUGGUGGAAAGCUUUUGCGGUGUGGGAUGGGCCCGCAGCCUAUCAGCUUGUUGGUGGGGUAAUGGCCUACCAAGGCGACGACGGGUAGCCGGCCUGAGAGGGUGACCGGCCACACUGGGACUGAGAUACGGCCCAGACUCCUACGGGAGGCAGCAGUGGGGAAUAUUGCACAAUGGGCGCAAGCCUGAUGCAGCGACGCCGCGUGAGGGAUGACGGCCUUCGGGUUGUAAACCUCUUUCAAUAGGGACGAAGCGCAAAUGACGGUACCUAUAGAAGAAGCACCGGCCAACUACGUGCCAGCAGCCGCGGUAAUACGUAGGGUGCGAGCGUUGUCCGGAAUUACUGGGCGUAAAGAGCUCGUAGGUGGUUUGUCGCGUUGUUCGUGAAAACUCACAGCUUAACUGUGGCGUGCGGGCGAUACGGGCAGACUAGAGUACUGCAGGGGAGACUGGAAUUCCUGGUGUAGCGGUGGAAUGCGCAGAUAUCAGGAGGAACACCGGUGGCGAAGGCGGGUCUCUGGGCAGUAACUGACGCUGAGGAGCGAAAGCGUGGGGAGCGAACAGGAUUAGAUACCCUGGUAGUCCAA
rnacentral:rRNA from 1 species